rnacentral:rRNA from 1 species
UACGAAGGGGGCUAGCGUUGCUCGGAAUUAUUGGGCGUAAAGAGCUCGUAGGCGGUCUGUCGCGUCGGCUGUGAAAACCUGGGGCUCAACUCCGGGCCUGCAGCCGAUACGGGCAGACUAGAAUUCGGUAGGGGAGACUGGAAUUCCUGGUGUAGCGGUGAAAUGCGCAGAUAUCAGGAGGAACACCGGUGGCGAAGGCGGGUCUCUGGGCCGAUAUUGACGCUGAGGAGCGAAAGCGUGGGGAGCGAACAGG